CUGCAAUAAAUGUAUAAAUGUUUUUAAUAAUCAACUGUAAUAGUUAUUGAGAAAAAUGAAUAUUUGGAGGAACCUCUUAAUCUUAAAGACCCCCCCCCCCUGUUUUCUUAUUACCUAGACAAAAAACAAAACAAUUUGUCCGCAUGCUUAAGAGCUCUGGAAAAUGGCUCCAACCCUGACUUUCUAGCCUGAAUUUCCCCUGCUGCCCCAAGCCUUCUCUAUGCUGUGGCCACAUUAGGCUUCAUCAUUUUGUUUAUUGAUUCAACAAGUGGUUUAAGCAUCCAUUUGCCAAGCUGUGUAGGUUUAAAGCAACAGGUCCCCUGAGAACGGGUAAAAGUUCUACAUUGUACAGGACAUAAAUACUGAAAUGAAUUAUCAGUGGAGGCUUUAAAAUCCAUUAAAGAAUACUGUGGUAGAAGAAUGUGUAUUAACAGAAGGGAAUAAAGGCUGGAUCAGUGGACUGAAGGGGCUGCUUGACAUCUACCUGAUUAUUGCAAUAACGCUGUGCCUUCUCUGGAUGCUCUCCUCUGGCUAUUACCCGUCUAGGCUGGAGCUGGAGACUUCUUAAUGCGUGAACUGACUGCACUGGCAUCAGGAAAUAAAAAAAGACCAGGAAUCCCUGGUUCCUCGUGACUGAUAAGGGCAGCCAAAUCUGUUCUCCUGUUUUCCUGAGGAUGGCUUCUUCGAGAUUGGCUGCAAAGGUUUCAGGAAAGCUUAAACCUUUUUUGUAGCAGUUUUUACCUCCCCCCCCAAAUCAAUUUAACAAGUGAUCCUUGCAAGCCUUAGCUGGCAGAUAUGCAGAUGACAGGGCAUACUCAUUGUCCUCGGUCAUUUUAACAUCUGGAAGAGACGUGCAAUUAGAAGGUCAUGAAAUGUCAUUAUAAUGUCAGAGUAAUGAAGAAAGUACACA